rnacentral:rRNA from 1 species
CCAGCUCCAAUAGCGUAUAUUUAAGUUGUUGCAGUUAAAAAGCUCGUAGUUGGAUCUCGGGGCGGGGCGGGCGGUCCGCCCUCGGGUGUGCACCGCUGGCCUCGCCCUUUCUGUCGGGGCCGCGCUCCUGGCCUUGAUUGGUCGGGACGCGUACUCGAUUAUGUUACUUUGAAAAAAUUGGAGUGCUCAAAGCAAGCCUGUGCUCUGAACACAUUAGCAUGGAAUAACGUGAUAGGACUUGGGUCCUGUCUUGUUGGUCUCCGGGACCGGAGUAAUGAUUAAUAGGAACAGUUGGGGGCAUUCGUAUUUCAUUGUCAGAGGUGAAAUUCUUGGAUUUAUGAAAGACGAACUACUGCGAAAGCAUUUGCCAAGGAUGUUUUCA